GUUGUCAUGAGAACAGUACACUAGCGCGGACAUGGCGGCGCUGCUGCAGCUCUACACUCAGAUUAAUGUAAUAAAAGAGGAAUAUUACACUCAAAACAGGAUUGCUGAAGAAAACAGACAGCGAGAGCAUGAUGCAGCAGUCAAAAUUCAAAGCUGGUUCAGAGGCUGUCAAGUUCGAGCGUACCUGAGCCAUAUCCACCGGCAGGCGACCGUGAUCCAGAAAACAUGUCGGGGUUUUGCAGCACGGCAGCACUUCAGGGAGAGGCUAAAGACAGCAUAUUUUCUCAUGAAGAUACAUUUCUACAAUAAGAUGGCUGUCAAGAUUCAGCAGAGAUGGAGAGGCUACUUUGUAAGAACGUAUGUUCACAAUUUCUACGCUCGGAAAAGAUACUUGGAUGAGCUGGCGAAGAAGAACGGGCAAAUCAGGAGAGAGUUGGAGGAGCUGGCUGAGCAGCAGAGGAAAGAGAGAGAGCGCACUGCGAUGGAGAAAGAAGAAAAGGAGAAAUACACUCAAGCCCAACGACUUCACUUCCUGCUCAGCACCAAACAGUGCCCAGGUGUGUUCAACUCACCAUUUCGACAAGAGCCUGAUGAGAUGGAGCUGAGAUUAAGAAGGGUUAAGCCAGUUCGGACCCAGUCUGCUCCCAAAGAACCAUGGCAUCUGAACCAACAGCCUCUCAGUCUCCAGUACAACAAAGACAAACUACCACCUAUACACAAAACACCACAGGGGCCCUUCCGGCCAGCUGUGGAGGUGCAGCAGCAGCGCUACCGGCCCCUGGAGCCCAGCCUGCGCGUGGCCACAUCCAUCACCGCCCUGGAGGAGGCCAGAGAGGAGCUUCGGCGCCAGGAAUGGAGGACUCGCCUCAUCGACCAGCCGUUUGUGCCGUUCUCAAAGGCACAGCGAAACAGAAGAUACGAGUCUCUGCUCCACACAGCCUCUCCAUAUCAACAGGAGGAGUACGGGAAGAAGCACUUCCGAGAGGAGGACCAGGACCAGCUAAAGGGGAAACAGGCCGAUCAUGUCACACCACGCUAACACAGCUCAUCCCGUGCUGCCACCACACAGUGCCCCUCCGACUCUGCCCGAGACAGCCAUUCAAGACUGUCUUCACCUCAUGCCAAGUCUUUGAAAAGUAUGGACGACUGUACUCUAAUGCAGGGAAAAUUGUCUAACAGAAAAAAGGGAUAUUUGGUUAAACAGCUGUUUGUUUUUUAUGUGAUUAUACUGUGUUAUUUGUUAUGGAAUACGUUUGAAAAAAAUGUCUCAUGUCAUACAUUACUCCCACAUUAUAUUUUUCAUUGUAGUGCACUUCUUACAUCUGUGUGGUUUAAUUUCCCAAAACAUUGUUAAUAAAUACUUGUAUAUUCA